rnacentral:rRNA from 1 species
UCGCAGAAAGGUAGAGCGAGCGGCCAGUUGGUGAGCCGUUCAAGUGAGUAGGGUGUUGCGUAGGCAAAUCCGCGCAACGUGAGCCUGAGACACGAUGACGAGUGAAAAAUAGUAACGAAGUCCUUGAUCCUCCGCUGCCAAGAAAAGCUGCUAAGGAAUAUAGAGGUGCCCGUACCGCAAACCGACACAGGUAGACAGGUAGAGAAUACUAAGGCGCGCGAGAUAACUCUUGUUAAGGAACUCUGCAAAAUGAACCCGUAACUUCGGGAGAAGGGUUGCUCUCUAGCGUGAGUAUGAGCAAUACAGAGCGCAGGAGAGUCGCAGUGAAAAGGUCCAGGCGACUGUUUAGCAAAAACACAGGUCAUUGCAAAAUCGCAAGAUGAAGUAUAAUGGCUGACGCCUGCCCGGUGCUGGAAGGUUAAGGGGAAGAGUGCAAGCUUUGAACCGAAGCCCCAGUAAACGGCGGCCGUAACAAUAACGGUCCUAAGGUAGCGAAAUUCCUUGUCGGGUAAGUUCCGACCCGCACGAAAGGCGAAACGAUCUGGACGCUGUCUCAACAAGGGACUCGGUGAAAUUGAAAUUCCGGUAAAGAUGCCGGAUACCUGCGAUAGGACAGAAAGACCCCAUGGAGCUUUACUGUAGCCUGAUAUUGGGUUUCGGAUAUUCAUGUACAGGAUAGGUGGGAGACUAAGAAGCAUGGACGCCAGUUUGUGCGGAGUCACUGGUGGGAUACCACCCUUAAAUGUUUGGAAUUCUAACAAGGAGUCUUGAAGCAGAUUAUUGGACAGUGUCAGGUGGGCAGUUUGACUGGGGCGGUCGCCUCCCAAAAGGUAACGGAGGCGCUCAAAGGUUCCCUCAGAACGGAUGGAAAUCGUUCGCAGAGUGCAAAGGCAGAAGGGAGCUUGACUGCGAGAGCCACAACUCGAGCAGAUAGGAAACUAGGACUUAGUGAUCCGGCGGUCGCGAGUGGAAGUGCCGUCGCUCAACGGAUAAAAGCUACCCUGGGGAUAACAGGCUCAUCUCCCCCAAGAGUUCACAUCGACGGGGAGGUUUGGCACCUCGAUGUCGGCUCAUCGCAUCCUGGGGCUGAAGUAGGUCCCAAGGGUUGGGCUGUUCGCCCAUUAAAGCGGUACGCGAGCUGGGUUCAGAACGUCGUGAGACAGUUCGGUCCCUAUCCAUCGCGGGCGUAGGAAAUUUGAAGGGAGCUGACCCUAGUACGAGAGGACCGGGUUGGACAGACCGCUGGUGAACCAGUUGUUCUGCCAAGAGCAUAGCUGGGUAGCUAAGUCUGGAAAAGAUAAACGCUGAAAGCAUCUAAGCGUGAAGCGAACCUUAAGAUGAGAUUUCCCACAACGAAAGUUGAUAAGACACCAGAGAGAAUAACUGGUAGAUAGGUCAGGAGUGUAAGUGUGGUGACACAUUGAGCGGACUGAUACUAAUAAGUCGAAGACUUAGUC